UACGAAGGGGGCUAGCGUUGCUCGGAAUCACUGGGCGUAAAGCGCGCGUAGGCGGCCCGGUAAGUCCGUUGUAAAAGUCGAAGGCUCAACCUUCGAAAGCCGAUGGAUACUGCCGGGCUAGAGUACGGAAGAGGCGAGUAGAAUUCCUGGUGUAGCGGUGAAAUGCGCAGAUAUCAGGAGGAACACCGGUGGCGAAAGCGGCUCUCUGGAACGGUACUGACGCUGAGACGCGAAAGCGUGGGGAGCGAACAGG
rnacentral:rRNA from 1 species